rnacentral:rRNA from 1 species
AACGAACGCUGGCGGCGUGCCUAACACAUGCAAGUCGAACGUGAUUGAAGAGCUUGCUCCUCAUGAAAGUGGCGCACGGGUGAGUAACGCGUAGAUAAUCUACCUGAUGAUUCGGGAUAACACUUCGAAAGGGGUGCUAAUACGGGAUAAGCCCACGGAGUCUUUGGACACUGCGGGAAAAGGAGGGGACCUUCGGGCCUUCCGUCAUCAGAUGAGUCUGCGUACCAUUAGCUAGUUGGUAGGGUAAAGGCCUACCAAGGCGACGAUGGUUAGCUGGUCUGAGAGGAUGAUCAGCCACACUGGAACUGAGACACGGUCCAGACUCCUACGGGAGGCAGCAGUGGGGAAUUUUGCGCAAUGGGGGAAACCCUGACGCAGCAACGCCGCGUGAGUGAUGAAGGCCCUUGGGUCGUAAAGCUCUGACAGAGGGAAAGAAAUGUGGGUGGCUAAUAUCCAUACCACUUGACGGUACCCUCAAAGGAAGCACCGGCUAACUCCGUGCCAGCCGCCGCAGAAAGAC